rnacentral:rRNA from 1 species
GAGUUUGAUCCUGGCUCAGGACGAACGCUGGCGGCGUGCCUAAUACAUGCAAGUCGAACGCACUCUCGUUAGAUUGAAGAAGCUUGCUUCUGAUUGAUAACAUUUGAGUGAGUGGCGGACGGGUGAGUAACACGUGGGUAACCUGCCCUAAAGUGGGGGAUAACAUUUGGAAACAGAUGCUAAUACCGCAUAAAACCUAGCACCGCAUGGUGCAAGGUUGAAAGAUGGUUUCGGCUAUCACUUUAGGAUGGACCCGCGGUGCAUUAGUUAGUUGGUGAGGUAAAGGCUCACCAAGACCGUGAUGCAUAGCCGACCUGAGAGGGUAAUCGGCCACACUGGGACUGAGACACGGCCCAGACUCCUACGGGAGGCAGCAGUAGGGAAUCUUCCACAAUGGACGAAAGUCUGAUGGAGCAACGCCGCGUGAGUGAAGAAGGUUUUCGGAUCGUAAAACUCUGUUGUUGGAGAAGAACGUAUUUGAUAGUAACUGAUCAGGUAGUGACGGUAUCCAACCAGAAAGCCACGGCUAACUACGUGCCAGCAGCCGCGGUAAUACGUAGGUGGCAAGCGUUGUCCGGAUUUAUUGGGCGUAAAGCGAGCGCAGGCGGUUUCUUAAGUCUGAUGUGAAAGCCUUCGGCUCAACCGAAGAAGUGCAUCGGAAACUGGGAAACUUGAGUGCAGAAGAGGACAGUGGAACUCCAUGUGUAGCGGUGAAAUGCGUAGAUAUAUGGAAGAACACCAGUGGCGAAGGCGGCUGUCUGGUCUGUAACUGACGCUGAGGCUCGAAAGCAUGGGUAGCAAACAGGAUUAGAUACCCUGGUAGUCCAUGCCGUAAACGAUGAGUGCUAGGUGUUGGAGGGUUUCCGCCCUUCAGUGCCGCAGCUAACGCAUUAAGCACUCCGCCUGGGGAGUACGACCGCAAGGUUGAAACUCAAAGGAAUUGAC